rnacentral:rRNA from 1 species
UCACUCUAAGGNCGGACUGCCGUUGACAAAACGGAGGAAGGUGGGGACGACGUCAAAUCAUCAUGCCCCUUAUGUCCUGGGCCACACACGUACUACAAUGGUGGUUAACAGAGGGAGGCAAGACCGCGAGGUGGAGCAAAUCCCUAAAAGCCAUCCCAGUUCGGAUUGCAGGCUGCAACCCGCCUGNAUGAAGUUGGAAUCGCUAGUAAUCGCGGAUCAGCAUGCCGCGGUGAAUACGUUCCCGGGCCUUGUACACACCGCCCGUCACACCAUGAGAGUCGGGAACACCCGAAGUCCGUAGCCUAACCGCAAGGGGGGCGCGGCCGAAGGUGGGUUCGAUAAUUGGGGUGAAGUCGUAAAGGGNUUAACCGUAAA